GCAUCUCUACUUCUAAUUAUUUUAUCCAUAACCCGUGGAAAACAAAAACCAAAGGAAGUUCCUGAUUCUGGAUUCCACCUGCUUCGAUCCAGAACAGAGAGACUAGGCGAUAAUUGUGAGGGAAUCCAGAACAAAAUGUUGCCAUUUUCCGAAUACAAAAAACACUGGAUAUUUUAGUUUCUAAGAAAAUCUGUUCCAUCCAGGACUCCAAGAACGAGCUCAGUGAUUUUCACCUCCACACUUACGCCGACGAGGGGUCUUGUCCGUCAACUCCAGAUCUGGACUCCCUCUCCAUUUCCGAACUUGAAUUUGACCCAGAGAAGCUUAUGGACUUGGGCCCAUGUUUCAACAGCCUAGCUUCCAUUUCCUGGCCUGAGCUAGUAACACAUAAUAUCAGUGCUGCCACCUACAGGGUGUAUGUGAGCAAUGUCAGCAGUGGACAGACUUGAGUAAGGGAGCUGUACCCUGUAAUUAUCUCUUGGGCUCGGGAGCAGCAUCUUGACUGAAUCUGUUAUGAAGAUGAUUGAGUUUCGUUGCUGUUGUUGGUGGAUCUGUUUGUUUUAGAAAAAAAGACUAUACUUUAUAACCCACGGUGCGAUUAACGUACAGUGAAUAAUACAGAGUGAAUUUAAGUGUCGUCUUUUCUGCAGCUAAUUUAUUCUUUAAAGAAGAAUAGUAGUGUAGAAAACAUCCAGCUGAGACAAGCAUCUGUUUUUAUUCAGUAUGCAAAUAUCUACAGUCAUGUUCCAUGGAAGCCCGUUGGCCUCCAGCCACCUGUUCCUGUCACCUCACUGGAAACAAGGGAGAAGAUGCAGUGUUGUGAUAAAUCCCCCAUUCUGCAGUGAGGCUGUAAUGGUUUGUGGAAUAACAAGGUCAAGUCAAGUGGGCUUUACUGACAUGCUACCCAUGUACAGGCGACACAUAGAUAGAUAAGCUGAUAGAAAUAAAUUAAGCAUGUAGGAAGUACAAAAAUGAUUCAGAU